ensembl:miRNA
AGGACUUAGCUCGCUCCGUGAACAGUUCAGUGAAAUCCUGUGUUCACAGUGGCUAAGUUCCGC